UACGUAGGGCGCAAGCGUUGUCCGGAAUCAUUGGGCGUAAAGAGCUCGUAGGUGGUCUGUUACGUCUGCUGUGAAAUCCUAGGGCUUAACCCUGGGCCUGCAGUGGAUACGGGCAGACUAGAGGUAGGUAGGGGAGAAUGGAAUUCCCGGUGUAGCGGUAGAAAUGCGCAGAUAGUCGGGAGGAACACCGGUGGCGAAGGCGGUUCUCUGGGCCUUACCUGACACUGAGGAGCGAAAGCGUGGGGAGCGAACAGG
rnacentral:rRNA from 1 species